AGCUCAGUGGUAGAGCACUUGCCUAACACGCAUGAGGCCCUGGGUUCCAUCCACAG
rnacentral:tRNA from 1 species